rnacentral:antisense_RNA from 18 species
AGUAUCCAAAGAUAAUGGCUGGGUUUAAUGUUGGAGUUGAAACAAAUCUUACAUCCCCUCCUCCUGGAGCCCAUGUAUCAUACACACCACCUACAAACAGAGCUUUAAUAACUAGUAAAAAUGAUCCAAUACCGAGUAAAAUUAAAUGGAUCCCCAAAAUUGUGGUCAUUUUGUUUUUAUCUCUCCA